AUCUGAUCGUUUGACUUGACACGU
rnacentral:snRNA from 1 species